rnacentral:rRNA from 1 species
GAUGAACGCUGGCGGCGUGCCUAAUACAUGCAAGUCGAGCGAACGGACGAGAAGCUUGCUUCUCUGAUGUUAGCGGCGGACGGUUUAGUAACACGUGGAUAACCUACCUAUAAGACUGGGAUAACUUCGGGAAACCGGAGCUAAUACCGGAUAAUAUUUUGAACCGCAUGGUUCACAAGUGAAAGACGGUCUUGCUGUCACUUAUAGAUGGAUCCGCGCUGCAUUAGCUAGUUGGUAAGGUAACGGCUUACCAAGGCAACGAUGCAUAGCCGACCUGAGAGGGUGAUCGGACACACGGGAACUGAGACACGGUCCAGACUCCGACGGGAGGCAGCAGUAGGGAAUCUUCCGCAAUGGGCGAAAGCCUGACGGAGCAACGCCGCGUGAGUGAUGAAGGUCUUCGGAUCGUAAAACUCUGUUAGUAGGGAAGAACAUAUGUGUAAGUAACUGUGCACAUCUUGACGGUACCUAAUCAGAAAGCCACGGCUAACUACGUG